GCAGGCACAAAUUAUAGCAUUCAACCCGCCAGCCCAAUUGCAACCCAGAAAGCUAAUAAGCUAAGCUUUGAGUGGCAACAUAUUACAGCAUGAAGCUGCAGCUUCUUAACACCAACACUACCUUUCUUGUUUCUCUGCUCCUAGUACUUAUUAUUGUCUCGUCUCCAGGCUGCAGCCAUGGCAUAAGAGAUGUUCCUGUGGCGUCUAUCACCCAAAACAAGGUGUUGUAUGUUGAUGCAAAGGAUUACACUGAAGGGGGACCAAAUCAAGCUCACACCCCUCCAGGGAAAGGGAGCAAGGGAUGAAACAGUACAGUGUCUGGAUGGUCUGUUCAAUCUCAGCUCAUUCCCAAGCUAGCCUAGCUUCUUCCUUUUACUUUCUCAUCCCAUGAUGUUAUGACAACAAUAUGGAGAAAAAAAAAAAGUGGGACUGGAAAGUAUUUCUCCUUUAAGUUGUACCUAAUUUGCACUUUGUUGGUCACCCACAUUAUGUCAUUAUGUGUGUUGAAACUUGAGAGGCAAAAGUAAAUCUAACUUCCUCUUCUAUCAAAGUAUUUUAAUUUAUGAUGACGAUGAUUAUUAUCCUA